GCCUUCGGGAAAUGUGAGACAGGUGCUGCAUGGCUGUCGUCAGCUCGUGUUGUGAAAUGUUGGGUUAAGUCCCGCAACGAGCGCAACCCUUAUCCUUGUUUGCCAGCACUUCGGGUGGGAACUCCAGGGAGACUGCCGGUGAUAAACCGGAGGAAGGUGGGGACGACGUCAAGUCAUCAUGGCCCUUACGAGUAGGGCUACACACGUGCUACAAUGGCGCAUACAGAGGGCGGCCAACUUGCGAAAGUGAGCGAAUCCCAAAAAGUGCGUCGUAGUCCGGAUUGGAGUCUGCAACUCGACUCCAUGAAGUCGGAAUCGCUAGUAAUCGUGGAUCAGAAUGCCACGGUGAAUACGUUCCCGGGCCUUGUACACACCGCCCGUCACACCAUGGGAGUGGGCUGCAAAAGAAGUGGGUAGUUUAACCUUCGGGAGGACGCUCACCACUUUGUGGUUCAUGACUGGGGUGAAGUCGUAACAAGGUAACCG
rnacentral:rRNA from 1 species